GCCCGGUGCUGGAAGGUUAAGAGGAGAUGUCCGCAGCAAUGCAAAGCAUUGAAUUGAAGCCCCAGUAAACGGCGGCCGUAACUAUAACGGUCCUAAGGUAGCGAAAUUCCUUGUCGGGUAAGUUCCGACCUGCACGAAUGGUGUAACGAUCUGGACACUGUCUCAGCCAUGAGCUCGGUGAAAUUGUAGUAUCGGUGAAGAUGCCGAUUACCCGCUGCGGGACGAAAAGACCCCGUGAACCUUCACUACAACUUAAUAUUGUUUUCGGGUAAGUCAUGCGUAGGAUAGGUGGGAGGCUGCGAAGCGGUUACUCCGGUAGUCGUGGAGCCACUGUUGAAAUACCACCCUUGACUUAUUUGGGAACUAACUCCGCGGAAUGCGGAGGACACUAUUUGGUGGGUAGUUUGACUGGGGUGGUCGCCUCCAAAAUAGUAACGGAGGCUUCCAAAGCUGCCCUCAGCACGCUUGGUCAUCGUGCGUAGAGUGCAUUAGCAAAAGGGCGGUUGACUGCAAGACCUACAAGUCGAGCAGGUGCGAAAGCAGGGUAAAGUGAUCCGGUGGUUCCGCGUGGAAGGGCCAUCGCUCAAAGGAUAAAAGGUACUCCGGGGAUAACAGGCUGAUCUCCCCCAAGAGCUCACAUCGACGGGGGGGUUUGGCACCUCGAUGUCGGCUCGUCACAUCCCGGGGCUGGAGAAGGUCCCAAGGGUUGGGCUGUUCGCCCAUUAAAGUGGCACGCGAGCUGGGUUCAGAACGUCGCGAGACAGUUCGGUCUCUAUCUGCAGUGGGCGUUAGAAAUUUGCGUGGAUCUGACUCUAGUACGAGAGGACCGAGUUGGACGAACCUCCGGCGUACCGGUUGUCGCGCCAGCGGCACGGCCGGGUAACCGCGUUCGGCAGGGAUAAGCACUGAAAGCAUAUAAGUGCGAAACCCACCACAAGAUAAGAUUUCUUUAUAAGGGUCGUGGGAGACCACCACGUCGAUAGGCUACAGGUCUAAAGGCAGUAAUGUCAAAGCCGAGUAGUACUAAUCACCCGUAAGUUUUACGCUC
rnacentral:rRNA from 1 species